GGGGUUUAAUAGGGACGAUGAGGGCGCACGUCCAGCAGCAUCUGGGCUCGCAGCUUCCUUGACAGGACAUCAUCUGCCAAAAAUACACAAGUAUGCUGCUGCUAGCUAGUUUGUGUGAGUGAGUGAGAGGUGAGAACCCAGCAGCACCAUCACCAGCAACCAGCUACGCUACUACUACUACUAAUGUCAGCCAUAGCCUACUAGGUGCACUGUGCAAACUCACAGAUGAGGGAGGGAGAGUAGUAGGUAUUUUGCUCGGCACCAGUA
rnacentral:lncRNA from 1 species